UGUCGCCUCUCGUCAGCGAGGGGAGGAAAGUCCGGACAGCGCAGGGCGCUUCCCUGUGGAAAGCACAGUUGGGCGUAAGCUCAGGGUAGUCGUAACAGAAAACAACCGCACGCUUGAGGCUCCGGCCUUUUGCUGCAAGGGUGAAAACGUGAGGCAAGAGCUCACGACCGGUGUCGGCGACGGCGCCGGGGUACGCUCCGGAAGGCUGCAAGACCAAAUAUACCGGCAGAUGAGGGCUGCCCGCCCGAUGCCGGGGGGUAGGUUGCAUUAGAUAAAUGACAGGAACCCGCAAGGGCACAGAAUCCGGCUUACCGACCCACCUG
rnacentral:RNase_P_RNA from 1 species